AAAUUAAAUAGGCAACAGCCGGAGACAGCAGGUGCCAUAAGCUUAAUAUCCUGCCGAGGUUUUCGCCCCAAUUGCUACCAGUACCGUUCAUGAUGAACGUGAGUACUGGGGCAUAAGGAUGAUAAGGUAUAGACGCACUGUACAGGGCGUCCAUACCACUAAACCCCGGCUGCGAGAGCUGGGGUUUAUUGUUUUCAAG
rfam:Scytonema tolypothrichoides VB-61278 scaffold_0, whole genome shotgun sequence.